UACGGGGGGGGCAAGCGUUGUUCGGAAUUACUGGGCGUAAAGCGCGCGCAGGCGGCUUCUCAAGUCAGGGGUGAAAGCCCAGAGCUCAACUCUGGAACUGCCUUUGAAACUGUGAAGCUUGAGUACGGGAGAGGUGAGUGGAAUUCCCAGUGUAGAGGUGAAAUUCGUAGAUAUUGGGAAGAACACCAGUGGCGAAGGCGGCUCACUGGCCCGAUACUGACGCUGAGGCACGAAAGCGUGGGGAGCAAACAGG
rnacentral:rRNA from 1 species